rnacentral:rRNA from 1 species
GACGUAGGUGGCGAACGUUAUCCGGAAUCAUUGGGCGUAAAGGGUGCGUAGAUGGCAUGAUAAGUUAUUAGUGGGAAAUCGAGGCUCAACCUCGUGGAAGCUAGUAAUACUGUUUUGCUUGAGUGCAGAAGAGGUUAACGGAACUCCAUGUGGAGCGGUAAAAUGCGUAGAUAUAUGGAAGAACAUCAAUAACGGCGAAGGCAGUUAACUAUUCUGUUACUGACAUUGAGGCACGAAAGCGUGGGGAGCAAAACGG